CAGAAGCCCGGAGGAUCCCUGAAGGACUCGUUCCUGGACGAAGGGUUCAUCCUGGACAAGAAGUUCAACACCGGGCACCCCAAGAAGAUUGAAAACGCCAAGAUUCUCAUCGCGAACACCCCGAUGGACACCGACAAGAUCAAAAUCUACGGAGCGCGCGUGCGAGUGGACUCGAUGGCGAAGGUUGGCGAGAUCGAGGCUGCGGAGAAGGCGAAGAUGGCCGCCAAGUGCGAGAAGAUCGCGAAGCACGGCUGCAACCUCUUCAUCAACCGCCAGCUCAUCUACAACUACCCGGAGCAGGUUCUCAGCGACCUCGGCGUCACGUCCAUCGAGCACGCCGACUUUGACGGCGUCGAGCGACUCGCGCUGGUCACCGGCGGCGAGAUCUGCUCCACCUUCGACGACCCCGAGGGCAACGUGCUCGGCACGUGCGACACCGUCGAGGAGAUUAUGAUCGGCGAGGACAGGCUCAUCAAGUUCAGCGGCGUCGCAAAGGGCGAGGCGUGCACAAUCGUGCUCCGCGGCGCAUCGUCGCACGUGCUCGGCGAGGCGGAACGGUCCCUCCACGACGCGCUCUGCGUGCUCGUAUCCACCGUGAAGGAUAGCCGGGUGGUUUACGGCGGCGGGUGCCCCGAGAUGAUCAUGUCCAAGGCGGUCGAGGAGCUCGCGGCGAAGACCCCGGGCAAGCGCUCGCUCGCCAUGGAGGGUUUCGCCAAGGCGCUGAGGAUGAUCCCGACGAUCAUCUGCGAGAACGCGGGUCUGGACUCGAGCGAGAUUGUGAGCCAGCUGCGCGCCAGCCACGGCCGCGGCGACCACAAGAUGGGCGUGGACAUCCUCACCGGGGAGACGGGCGACAUGGAGCAGUGCGGGAUCACCGAGUGCUUCAGGGUCAAGCAGCAGGUGUUGCUCUCGGGUACCGAGGCGGCGGAGAUGAUCAUCCGCGUCGACGACAUCAUCAAGUGCGUGCCCAGGCAGCGCGAGCAGUAAAGCACGCCGGCGAGAGAGCGAGGUUCAUUUGUCAAUUCAAAGGUUUAGUCUCAACUCGACAGAAACGAACAUAUACGUACUCGCGUGCUGUGCGUGAAGUCCGGCGAGCAGGGAGACGAAUCCAUUUUUUUCCACCUCCGAACGAAACCCUGCCACGCGGUUUGUUUUCGGGGCAGGCGCAGAUAGUCAGAACACCCGCGUGUGUAUUUCGGAGCAUUUCGGAGUGCAAACAGGUGCCAGGCGUGCCAGUCAGAACACCCGCGUGUGUGGUAUACUCAACAAAGGGGCUCUCUCGCCGGUGCUUCGCGCAUCGCGCACUGUCUUUAUAGACUAGCUAGACUAGCUUCCCGGGCAUCAUCGGGCGCUCUCCCAACUGCGGUGAUGGAAGUGCGGUGCAGCCGCGCGAAAACGACGUACUCGCACAGACAUACUAGAGUCUACGAAGGCACUACCUCACCACCGCACACAGGUGGCGGCGAAUUAUAUUUCGAGGUAGUCUAGCAGUGCUAGGGAAAUUUUUCCACCUCCGACGGGUGCACACGGUGGAAUCUCGUAUGGGCAAACACCCUGAUGGGAGGCAACGGGGGAGCGUAUGCGCCCCGGUGACAACACCCGCGUGUGCGGUACCACCAGAGAUUUUGGAGGGGGGGGUGUGAACUCGGUGAGUUCAACACAUCUUAGCUGCGACGGGAUGAACCUCAGUAGAUCGUAGCAGCAAGGCUACUCUGCUACUUACAGUACCCGGCAGCGCAUUAAAGUCGUCUGCAAUGGAUGUAUCGGUCCGGCCGUUCG
rnacentral:rRNA from 1 species